rnacentral:rRNA from 2 species
AGGGGCUUGCUCCUUAAUUUAGYGSCSCMCGGGUGAGUAACGCGUAGAUAAUYUGCYUGAUSAUCUGGGAUAACACUUYGAAAGGAGURMWAAUACCGGAUAAGCCCACGACGGCUUUGGUCGUUGCGGGAAAAGGGGGGGACCUUCGGGCCUUCUGUCAUCAGAUGAGUCUGCGUACCAUUAGCUAGUUGGUAGGGUAAUGGCCUACCAAGGCUACGAUGGUUARSKGGUCUGAGAGGAUGAUCAGCCACACUGGAACUGAGACACGGUCCAGACUCCUACGGGAGGCAGCAGUGGGGAAUAUUGGACAAUGGGCGAAAGCCUGAUCCAGCCAUGCCGCGUGGGUGAAGAAGGCCCUAGGGUUGUAAACCCCUUUCAGCGGUGAAGAUAAUGACGG